rfam:Synergistes sp. 3_1_syn1 genomic scaffold supercont1.4, whole genome shotgun sequence.
UCGAAUAUUAUCUUUCUCAGUAAGGGAAACCGGUGCGGAUCUUUCCAAUGCCGGUGCGGCCCCGCCACUGUAGCUCGGACGAAAGCGCAAAGAAGCCACUGGAAUUUUUCCGGGAAGGCGCGCUGUCAGGAUGAAGGGAAGUCAGGAAAUCUGCUGAGGAAAGGUUUAGGGA